rnacentral:misc_RNA from 1 species
CUGUUCGAGCGUCAUUACACCACUCAAGCCUCGCUUGGUAUUGGGCGCCGCGGUCCGCCGCACGCCUCAAUGACCCCGGCUGGGUCCUCUGUCCCUCAGCGUUGUGCAAAUCAAUCCGCUGGCAAGGUACGGGCGACGCACGCCGUUAAACCUCACACAAGGUUGACCUCGGAUCAGGUAGGGAUACCCGCUGAACUUAA